ACCCCACACCAGGAGACACAUCCUCCACCCUACAUUCAACCCCACACCAGGAGACACAUCCUCCAUUCUGCAUUAAACCCCACACCAGGAGACACACCCUCCAUCCUACAUUCAACCCCACACCAGGAGACACACCCUCCAUCCCGCAUUCAACCCCACACCUGGAGACACACUCUCCACCCUACAUUCAACCCCACACCUGGAGACACACCCUCCAUCCUACAUUCAACCCCACACCAGGAGACACACCCUCCACCCUAUAUUAAACCCCACACCAGGAGACACACCCUCCAUCCCACAUUCAACCCCACACCAGGAGACACGCCCACCAUCCUGUAUUCAACCCCACACCUGGAGACACACCCUCCAUCCUACAUUAAACCUGACAGCAGGAGACACACCCUCCAUCCCACAUUCAACCCCACACCUGGAGACACGCCCACCAUCCUGUAUUCAACCCCACACCUGGAGACGCACCCUCCACCCUACAUUAAACCCCACACAUGGAGACACAUUCUCCAUCCUACAUUAAACCCCACACCAGGAGACACACUCUCCAUCCUGUAUUCAACCCCACACCAGGAGACACACCCUCCAUCCCACAUUAAAUCCCACACCAGGUUUCCUUCUCUGCUGUAUCAUUCCCUUCACUGGAAAAAUAUUUGCCUUCCUAUCAUCCUCUCCAGUCACAGGACCUGGCGCUGCUCCCCCUGGCAGUAAAACUCUUUGAAAUAGGUGUUUUAUUCUCUGUCUCUACUUCCUCCCCUCCUUUCCAUUUUCCUUUCAAGCUUUCCUCUGAAACUGCUCAUGUCCAGGUUACCUAUGCCCUGUAUUUUGCGGAAUUGAAGCAGCAGCACCUGCAUUCAUCUCAGUUCACCUGAAAGCAGCACAGCACACCUUCGACUGCAUCCUCCUACAGCUCUCUCUGGUGUUCCUGUCAAUCCUGUCUCUUGGCUCUGCUACAACCCAGUGGCUGUCCUUUUAGUAUCCAUGGCAGUUCUUUUCUCUGUCCUCAGACCCUUUCUGUUUGUUUUUCCUACCCUCAUUUCCCAGGUAACUUUUUCCAUUCUCACCCAUUCGCAGAUGACUAUUGAUUUUAUUUUUUAUUUUAUUAAUUUAUUAUACCUUUUUUCUCGAGAUAGAGUCUCGCUCUGUCACCCAGGCUGGAGCACAGUGGCGAGGUCUUAGCUCACUGCAACCUCUGCCUCCUGGAUUCAAAAGAUUCCCCUGCUUCUGUGUCCCAAGUAGUGGGGACUAUAAGUGCGUACCACCGUGCCCAGCUAAUUUUUGUAUUUUUAGUCGAGACGGGGUUUCCCCAUGUUGGCAAGGCUAGGCUUGAACUCCUGACCGCCUCAGCCUCCAAAAGUGCUGGGAUUAUAAGCAUGAGCCACCGAGCCCGGCCAGGACUCCUGAUUUUAAAGUGCAACCUGGACUUUUCCAUGAAAUUCAGACACAUGUAUCCAACAGUUUUCUCAACCCACCCCAGAGAGCAGACUAAGCUUUCCCAAACCUGAUUCCUGAUGUGCUCCCAAGUCUGCUUUUCCACAUGGUCUUCCCAGUUUGCUAGAGAAUAACUCCCUCUUUCUAAUUGGGCAGGAGAAAAACCUGGAGUCAACUUUUAUUCCUCCUUUUCUGUCAAAUACCAAAUCAGCACAUCAGCCAAUUCAGCUAGUCCUACUCAAAAGACAUUGAGAUGCUGAACAGUCCUCCCCACCUCAUCCUUCAGAGGCCGGAGCCGCCAUUCUCUCUCACCGGAAUGCAUCCACUGUGCUUCUUUCUUGUCCACUUUUGUGCCAUAAUCAACGCAGCAGCCCGAAGAUUCUCUUACAUCACAAGCUAGAUCGUACCUACCACAAUCACUCGUUAUCUUUUCAACAACUUUACAGAAGACUCACAAUCAACAACAAGCACCUACCAAAGAACGGCAAUUUUGACUUCCUAUCAUUCUACCAUAACUUUUUUCCUUCUUUUUUUUCCUCACACUUAACCCAGCAUUGCCCAUCCUCAGCACCUUGCAGGAGCUGUUUCCACUGCCUGAAGGCUCUUCCUAGGUGGCCUCAUAGUUCAUUCCUCUUCUCCUCCAGCUACUUAAAGCCCAUCUUCUUAGUGAAGUCCGUUCUCACCAUCUGAUGUUACAGCCUCAGCCCCUUCCCCUUGUUUGGCCAUACUCUGUUACCCUGCUUCUACACGGCACACCACAAUGGAAACUGCUAAGUGUUUAAUCACUCACUUCUUCCUUUUUUCGCUCACAAACGUAUGAAUUCCAAGAGGGUUGGAAUUCCCUUUGGUCUGAGUUCUACCCCAGGGUUGAAAUCUGUGUAAGGCUUUGAAUGACACUGAAUAAUAUUUGUUGAGUGAGUGAAUAUCUUACAUUCUAAUAUCAAGAGACUCUUACAUCCUAAAGCCUACAUUAUAACACUCAAAUCUGUAAUAAAUUAAUAUAAUUUUGCUGUUCAACACUUCAAACAUAAGAACAUCUUAUGUGCAUAUGUGCACUCCUAUGUAUAUAAGCUUUUAGACUACAAACCUUAUAAACCUUUUUCUAAAAUUAUAUCAUCUGGGAAUGUGACCACAUAUUCCAAUGCUGGAUAUGUUUGAAUUGGUAUUCUGAGCCAAAUUAUCUUAAGAUCUAGAGUUUCCUUCUAAUUUUAAUAAAUGUUUGGGUUAGCUCUACAAUAGAAUUAUAUUUAUUAAAACAUGUAAUCCUCAAAGUAAUAUGAACUAGAUAGCUAUGUCUUAAACUAUCCAUUGCAUAACGAAAAUAAAGCCCAGUAAAUUCUAGUGACCUACCUGACGUCAGACAACUAAUAAAUAAAUGAUCUUGGAUAUAAUCCACGGUCUAAGUCUAACCUAUGACUUAAAAUAUCUAUUAAAUUAUAUCCCAAUCAAUAACUACUAAACUCUGCUCAAAGUAGAUAUAAUGGUUAGUGUCCUUUUCUACAGAGUUUUUAGACCAGUUGCUCAAUUAUAUUGUACAAUAAAGUCCAAUCAUAAAACACAUCCUUAAUGUUCAUGGCUGUUAUGUAUCAAGAUGUUUUUAAACCCCCAAAUUUGUGACAACCAAGUAGCUCAUAAUUUUCUCCAUAAAUAUUAUAAAUUAUUUCUGACUAAAAAGAGUAAUUUUCCUAGACCUUUAACAACUCUAAAUAUAAAACCAAUUACAAGCUAUUGAAAUACAUUCUAUCAAUAUUUUGACUUUCAGGUAAUUUUUACCUCUCAUACUUCAGCAGCUUUUGCAGUGUCACAAUGUAUUUUCUGUAUUCAGUAACAAUUGAUUAUAGAUUCAUUAAUGGCAAUAACUUGAGUCAGCACCAAAUUCAAUAUUCUAUGAAUUUUUAAUCUAUUUUUUUCUAGUUGGAAAAUAUUUUUUUAGAUUGUUUCAUUUGCAGCAUCAAUCAAUCCUAGUAUUUGGUUUCAUCACACACACGUUCACAGAGCAAAAUCUGUCCAACCUGCUACCCUGGGAAAAUUGGGGAAAGCAUUUUUAUGAGGGUUAUCCUAAAUUAAACAUUUCUUCACCAAGGAUAUAUUUUCAACUACAGAAGAGUAUUAUGAAAACUAACAGGAUAUUGAUAUACUGAAAUGUUUAAAAUACACAUUAACUGUGCAUUGAAUCUAAUUCAAAGGCAUUGUCUUAACCCUCUUUGAGGUUACUGCCACCAUGAUGGAAGGAAGCCAUCUGUUACCAGAGGCAGUGAUGCUAUGAAAAGGGCGUGAGGCUCAGAGUCAUGGGUCCAACCUCACAUAUGGCCUCAAUAAAUCACCUAGCAUUUCAGGAUAAUUUUCCUCCUCUAAGAGAACAGGAGCAUAUUUGUCUCAAAGCUGUUACAAAAAUUAUUAUAAAAAGGACAGGUGUAGAGAUGAGACAUUAGACAGUGAAUUCUCUGAGGGCCAGCUGUCUCACACACUUCAAUUAGGAGAAAUAAGAAAGGUCUGUAUUUUUGUUGUUGUUGUUGUUAAAGGCUAAGCAAUUACAACAUUCUGCAUAUAAUUAUUAUUGUUAUAAAUUUGCAUACAAUCCCCCAACAAAUGUUGAGCCAGAUAUCUUCUUUACUGCAGGCUGUUUCUGUUAAGUAGGCUAAUAACUACAACCUAUGGACUUAUGACUACUGUUAGUAAGCCAAGUCUUAAGAAUGUGAUUGGGCACAAGACAGGGAUGCCCUCUCUCACCACUCCUAUUCAACAUAGUGUUGGAAGUUCUGGCUAGGGCAAUCAGGCAAGAGAAAGAAAUCAAGGGUAUUCAGAUAGGAAAAGAAGAAGUCAAAU
rnacentral:lncRNA from 1 species